AGAACCGACUAACCGACUUGGCCACCAGAACUGCAGUAUGUAUGUAUGCACGUAUCCACACAGGUACCACAGUUGGCCUGUUGAACUGCAGUGUGGAUGCAACCAGAACCAGCUAACUAACUUGGCCUCUUGAAGUGCAGUAUUUUGUGGAUGCAACCAGAACCAGCUAACCGACUUGGCCAACAGAACUGCAGUAUGUACCUUUUAAAGACGCGCAAGGAUGGAUACCUUCAUGUGGAGUUGUUUUUAAUCAUCCAUAUUCAUUCAACCACUUAUUUGUUCUUAUCCUUAAGGUAAGAGGUAAGGUAAGGUAAGCCUUUUUACUGGGUAAAAGCACAGACUUUGAAAACUUGCCAUGGGGAUGAACGUUGUCACACAAGUUAACCACUGUAAAAAAACAAAAAAGGCAAACUAUUUAAACGUAAGGUCACACAAGUGUCAAAAGCAUUUAAACACACUCACUGCGCAGUUUGUGUAAAAGGGGAAAAAUUUCUUGUGUAUGGUGUUUUCAAAAAGCAAAACAGAAACUUGUCACAAAUGUAUGAAAUAACUUCUUAACAAGAGCUCUUGUGUGUGUCAAAAUGAAAACAAAAAUCAAAAUGUGCAAACUUCACAAAAGCAAAAGGUGCAAAACAUUGUUGGGACAAGUGUUAAAAGGUUGGUCACACAAGUUAACCACUGUAAAACUGGAACAAAAUGUGUAUACUGUGUCUGAAGGUUAAAAAAAAAAAAAAAAAGAGGUCUUGUGUGUGUGUGUGUGUCAUAAUCAAAGCACUUGUGUGACAAAUCUAAAAAUAACACUAACUCAAAGGUAUUUUUUCCAGGAAACACGGUAAAACAAAGGGUCACAAAAAACUGAAUAACGACAGCUCUUGUGUUUGCCAUGGUGUCAAAAACUGCAAACUUGGCAAAGAAAUGUGCAAAAUGUUGUGACAAGUGUGAUUGUUUUUUUUUGAAGGUUUAAAAAAAAAAAAACAAGAGGUCUUGUGUGUGUCAUAAUCAAAGCACUUGUGUGACAAAUCUAAAAAUAACACUAACUCAAAGGUUUUUUUUUUCCAGGAAACACGGUAAAACAAAGGGUCACAAAAAAUUGAAUAACGACAGCUCUUGUGUUUGCCAGGGUUUCAAAAACUGCAAACUUGACCAAAAAAAAAAGCAAAAAAUUUGCAAAAUGUUGUGACAAGUGUGAUUUUUUUUUUUGAAGGUUUAAAAAACAAAAAAAAAACAAGAGGUCUUGUGUGUGUCAUAAUCAAAGCACUUGUGUGACAAAUCUAAAAAUAACACUAACUCAAAGGUUUUUUUUUCCAGGAAACACGGUAAAACAAAGGGUCACAAAAAAUUGAAUAACGACAGCUCUUGUGUUUGCCAGGGUUUCAAAAACUGCAAACUUGACCAAAAAAAAAAGCAAAAAAUUUGCAAAAUGUUGUGACAAGUGUGAUUUUUUUUUUUGAAGGUUUAAAAAACAAAAAAAAAACAAGAGGUCUUGUGUGUGUCAUAAUCAAAGCACUUGUGUGACAAAUCUAAAAAUAACACUAACUCAAAGGUUUUUUUUUCCAGGAAACACGGUAAAACAAAGGGUCACAAAAAAUUGAAUAACGACAGCUCUUGUGUUUGCCAGGGUUUCAAAAACUGCAAACUUGACCAAAAAAAAAAGCAAAAAAUUUGCAAAAUGUUGUGACAAGUGUGAUUUUUUUUUUUGAAGGUUUAAAAAACAAAAACAAGAGGUCUUGUGUGUGUCAUAAUCAAAGCACUUGUGUGACAAAUCUAAAAAUAACACUAACUCAAACGUUUUUUUUCCCAGGAAACACGGUAAAACAAAGGGUCACAAAAAACUGAAUAACGACAGCUCUUGUGUUUGCCAUGGUGUCAAAAACUGCAAACUUGGCAAAAAAAAUGUGCAAAAUGUUGUGACAAGUGUGAAUUUUUUUUGAAGGUUUAAAAAAAAAAACAAAAACAAGAGGUCUUGUGUGUGUCAUAAUCAAAGCACUUGUGUGACAAAUCUAAAAAUAACACUAACUCAAACGUUUUUUUUCCCAGGAAACACGGUAAAACAAAGGGUCACAAAAAACUGAAUAACGACAGCUCUUGUGUUUGCCAUGGUGUCAAAAACUGCAAACUUGGCAAAAAAAAUGUGCAAAAUGUUGUGACAAGUGUGAUUUUUUUUUGAAGGUUUAAAAAAAAAAAAACCAAGAGGUCUUGUGUGUGUCAUAAUCAAAGCACUUGUGUGACAAAUCUAAAAAUAACACUAACUCAAAGGUUUUUUUUCCAGGAAACACGGUAAAACAAAGGGUCACAAAAAACUGAAUAACGACAGCUCUUGUGUUUGCCAUGGUGUCAAAAACUGCAAACUUGACCAAAAAAAAAGCAAAAAAUUUGCAAAAUGUUGUGACAAGUGUGAUUUUUUUUUUGAAGGUUUAAAAAACAAAACAAAAACAAGAGGUCUUGUGUGUGUCAUAAUCAAAGCACUUGUGUGACAAAUCUAAAAAUAACACUAACUCAAACGUUUUUUUUCCCAGGAAACACGGUAAAACAAAGGGUCACAAAAAACUGAAUAACGACAGCUCUUGUGUUUGCCAUGGUGUCAAAAACUGCAAACUUGGCAAAAAAAAUGUGCAAAAUGUUGUGACAAGUGUGAAUUUUUUUUGAAGGUUUAAAAAAAAAAAAAAAAAACAAGAGGUCUUGUGUGUGUCAUAAUCAAAGCACUUGUGUGACAAAUCUAAAAAUAACACUAACUCAAACGUUUUUUUUCCCCAGGAAACACGGUAAAACAAAGGGUCACAAAAAACUGAAUAACGACAGCUCUUGUGUUUGCCAUGGUGUCAAAAACUGCAAACUUGGCAAAAAAAAUGUGCAAAAUGUUGUGACAAGUGUGAAUUUUUUUUGAAGGUUUAAAAAAAAAAAACCAAGAGGUCUUGUGUGUGUCAUAAUCAAAGCACUUGUGUGACAAAUCUAAAAAUAACACUAACUCAAAGGUUUUUUUUUCCAGGAA